rnacentral:rRNA from 1 species
GAUGAACGCUGGCGGCGUGCCUAAUACAUGCAAGUCGAGCGAACGGACGAGAAGCUUGCUUCUCUGAUGUUAGCGGCGGACGGGUGAGUAACACGUGGAUAACCUACCUAUAAGACUGGGAUAACUUCGGGAAACCGUAGCUAAUACCGGAUAAUAUUUUGAACCGCAUGGUUCAAAAGUGAAAGACGGUCUUGCUGUCACUUAUCGAUGGAUCCGCGCUGCAUUAGCUAGUUGGUAAGGUAACGGCUUACCAAGGCAACGAUGCAUAGCCGACCUGAGAGGGUGAUCGGCCACACUGGAACUGAGACACGGUCCAGACUCCUACGGGAGGCAGCAGUAGGGAAUCGUCCGCAAUGGGCGAAAGCCUGACGGAGCAACGCCGCGUGAGUGAUGAAGGUCUUCGGAGCGUAAAACUCUGUUAUUAGGGAAGAACAUAUGUGUAAGUAACUGUGCACAUCUUGACGGUACCUAAUCAGAAAGCCACGGCUAACUACGUG